rnacentral:rRNA from 1 species
AAUAGAUACCCGGGUAGUCCACGCCGUAAACGAUGAGUGCUAAGUGUUAGAGGGUUUCCGCCCUUUAGUGCUGCAGCUAACGCAUUAAGCACUCCGCCUGGGGAGUACGGUCGCAAGACUGAAACUCAAAGGAAUUGACGGGGGCCCGCACAAGCGGUGGAGCAUGUGGUUUAAUUCGAAGCAACGCGAAGAACCUUACCAGGUCUUGACAUCCUCUGACAACUCUAGAGAUAGAGCGUUCCCCUUCGGGGGACAGAGUGACAGGUGGUGCAUGGUUGUCGUCGGCUCGUGUCGUGAGAUGUUGGGUUAAGUCCCGCAACGAGCGCAACCCUUGAUCUUAGUUGCCAGCAUUUAGUUGGGCACUCUAAGGUGACUGCCGGUGACAAACCGGAGGAAGGUGGGGAUGACGUCAAAUCAUCAUGCCCCUUAUGACCUGGGCUACACACGUGCUACAAUGGAUGGUACAAAGGGCUGCAAGACCGCGAGGUCAACGACACUCCAAACUAAACCUAUUCUACGUCGGUACGUGUUAGGUGU